rnacentral:rRNA from 1 species
AUUGAACGCUGGCGGCAUGCUUUACACAUGCAAGUCGAACGGUAACAGGGUGCUUGCACCGCCGACGAGUGGCGAACGGGUGAGUAAUGCGUCGGAACGUGCCGAGUAGUGGGGGAUAACGCAGCGAAAGUUGUGCUAAUACCGCAUACGUACUGAGGUAGAAAGUGGGGGACCUUCGGGCCUCACGCUAUUCGAGCGGCCGACGUCUGAUUAGCUAGUAGGUGAGGUAAAGGCUCACCUAGGCGACGAUCAGUAGCGGGUCUGAGAGGAUGAUCCGCCACACUGGGACUGAGACACGGCCCAGACUCCUACGGGAGGCAGCAGUGGGGAAUUUUGGACAAUGGGCGAAAGCCUGAUCCAGCCAUGCCGCGUGUCUGAAGAAGGCCUUCGGGUUGUAAAGGACUUUUGUCAGGGAGGAAAUCCCUAGUGCUAAUAACACUGGGGGAUGACAGUACCUGAAGAAUAAGCAUCGGCUAACUACGUGCCAGCAGCCGCCGCAGUAA